rnacentral:rRNA from 1 species
GAUGAACGCUAGCGGCAGGCCUAACACAUGCAAGUCGAGGGGUAUUAGGAGCUUGCUCCUAAGAGACCGGCGCACGGGUGCGUAACGCGUAUGCAAUCUACCUUGUACAGGGGAAUAGCCCAGAGAAAUUUGGAUUAAUGCCCCAUAGCAUAAUUGAAUCGCAUGGUUUAAUUAUUAAAGUUCCAACGGUACAAGAUGAGCAUGCGUCCCAUUAGUUAGUUGGUAAGGUAACGGCUCACCAAGACAAUGAUGGUAGGGGUCCUGAGAGGGAGAUCCCCACACUGGUACUGAGACACGGACCAGACUCCUACGGAGGCAGCAGUGAGGAAUA